GCCGGGGUAGUUCAACGGCAGAACAUCAGCCCUCCAAGCUGAUUGUGCGGGUUCGAUUCCCGCCCUCGGCUCCA
rnacentral:tRNA from 1 species